UACGGGGGGGGCAAGCGUUGUCCGGAUUUACUGGGCGUAAAGAGCGUGUAGGCGGCCACGCAGGUCCGUUGUGAAAACUGGAGGCUCAACCUUCAGACGUCGACGGAAACCGUGUGGCUAGAGUCCGGAAGAGGAGAGUGGAAUUCCUGGUGUAGCGGUGAAAUGCGCAGAUAUCAGGAAGAACACCAAUGGCGAAGGCAGCUCUCUGGGACGGUACUGACGCUGAGACGCGAAAGCGUGGGGAGCGAACAGG
rnacentral:rRNA from 1 species